rnacentral:rRNA from 1 species
GACGAACGCUGGCGGCGUGCUUAACACAUGCAAGUCGAACGAGUGGCGAACGGGUGAGUAAUACGUGGGUAACCUGCCCUCUUUUUGGGAUAAGCCUUGGAAACGGGGUCUAAUACCGAAUAAAGGGGGAUGGGCUCGCGGCCUAUCAGCUUGUUGGUGGGGUGAUGGCCUACCAAGGCGGUGACGGGUAGCCGGCCUGAGAGGGUGACCGGCCACAUUGGGACUGAGAUACGGCCCAGACUCCUACGGGAGGCAGCAGUGGGGAAUUUUGCACAAUGGGGGGAACCUUGAUGCAGCGACGCCGCGUGAGGGAUGGAGGCCUUCGGGUUGUGAACCUCUUUCGCUCGUGUGCGUGUAGCGGGUAAAGAAGCGCCGGCUAACUACGUGCCAGCAGCCGCGGUAAUUC